CGUGUAGGCUGCUCGGAAAGUCGGAUGUGAAAGCCCUGGGCUCAACCUAGGAAGUGCAUUCGAAACUUCCGAGCUGGAGUGCUGGAGAGGAAGGCGGAAUUCUCGGUGUAGAGGUGAAAUUCGUAGAUAUCGAGAGGAACACCGGUGGCGAAGGCGGCCUUCUGGACAGUCACUGACGCUGAGACGCGAAAGCGUGGGGAGCAAACAGGAUUAGAUACCCUGGUAGUCCACGCCGUAAACGAUGGGUGCUAGGUGUCGCGGGCUUUGACCCCUGCGGUGCCGUAGCUAACGCAUUAAGCACCCCGCCUGGGGAGUACGGCCGCAAGGCUAAA
rnacentral:rRNA from 1 species